rnacentral:misc_RNA from 1 species
GUGAAGUCGUAACAAGGUAGCCGUAUCGGAAGGUGCGGCUGGAUCACCUCCUUUCUAAGGAGAAUAGAUGCGUGACGUAUUUUGGUCAGUUUUGAGAGGUCAACUCUCUGUAAUAUUGUUCAUUGAAAACUAGAUAACAAGUAAAGCAAGGUUAAACCAUAUAACUCUCAUUUAAUGAGAAAACCGAGUAAACGAUCGCUACAACACUGUUAGUGUUGAAAUAACCAAUCAAUGGUUAAGUUAGAAAGGGCGCACGGUGGAUGCCUUG